AUUGAACGCUGGCGGCAGGCUUAACACAUGCAAGUCGAGCGGAGAUGAGGUGCUUGCACCUUAUCUUAGCGGCGGACGGGUGAGUAAUGCUUAGGAAUCUGCCUAUUAGUGGGGGACAACAUUCCGAAAGGAAUGCUAAUACCGCAUACGUCCUACGGGAGAAAGCAGGGGAUCUUCGGACCUUGCGCUAAUAGAUGAGCCUAAGUCGGAUUAGCUAGUUGGUGGGGUAAAGGCCUACCAAGGCGACGAUCUGUAGCGGGUCUGAGAGGAUGACCAGCCACACUGGGACUGAGACACGGCCCAGACUCCUACGGGAGGCAGCAGUGGGGAAUAUUGGACAAUGGGGGGAACCCUGAUCCAGCCAUGCCGCGUGUGUGAAGAAGGCCCUAUGGUUGUAAAGCACUUUAAGCGAGGAGGAGGCUACUGAGACUAAUACUCUUGGAUAGUGGACGUUACUCGCAGAAUAAGCACCGGCUAACUCUGUGCCAGCAGCCGCAGUAA
rnacentral:rRNA from 1 species